AUCGUCGCCCCWUCCAACCCCGAUCCCUCGGGACUCGGUUUGGACCGCGGGCGGAAAUUGGCCUCCCGUGCGCUCACAGCCAGCGGUUGGCCUAAAUUCGAGUCCUCGACGACAUCAUCGUCGCGACCAUCGGUGGUAAUGCUGUAAGCAACCUCGUUCGGAGUCGUGCGCGUUCGUCGAUCGAGACCCUUGAACCCUUUUGGCAUCGCAAGGAUGAUGCUCGCA
rnacentral:misc_RNA from 1 species